UGCAAAGGAAGUUUUGUAAAAUGAAAGGAAUUGCAAAAUCUAAAUCACCUUAUGCCUUUUCUCCAGGUUUUUCAGACUUGACAAAUAAGCAGGUGGUAACCAGCCUCAUUUCUUUGUAUGCACAAGUGGUGAUCUGGUUCUGUCGAUCCAGUCUCCUUCCCGAGGGUUUAGAUGACCACAUGCAUUUGUCUAGACCUUUCUACAAUUACCCUCUGAUUCAGAGCUACUAUACGGGUCAUCGAGAGAAACUCAAGCGUUUAUCAAGAGGCAAAUGGGAUUCUGACUGCUUGAUGAUUGAUGGAAUGGUUUCCCAGUUGGGAGAGCAAGUGGAGAAGUUGUGGCAAAGAGAUGAAGGCGGUACUGGGAAAUACCCACCUGUUAGUUUACACGUGAGUGUUGUGUUCACUGAAAACCCCAGCAGCAGCAGCAGCAGUGGUGCCCUAAAGGCAAUGCUUCUGAAAGACCAGGAGCAUUAAAAACCUUUUCAUCUUUCAUUUCAGGCACUGCUGGAUCUCUAUUUGCUAGAAAGCAUUGAAGAAAGUGAUAAACAUGCAAUUGUA
rnacentral:lncRNA from 12 species